CAGAGUAAGGACAGUGCGUCAAGUGCCGCCGGAUGGGAUGUUGCCGGCGGACGAAGAAGGUGGAUUCCUUCGCGGUGCUGUGCCUGCGUCCGCUGC
rnacentral:ncRNA from 1 species